rnacentral:rRNA from 1 species
GACGAACGCUGGCGGCGUGCUUAACACAUGCAAGUCGAACGGAAAGGCCCUGCUUGCAGGGUACUCGAGUGGCGAACGGGCGAGUAACACGUGGGUGAUCUGCCCUGCACUUCGGGAUAAGCCUGGGAAACUGGGUCUAAUACCGGAUAGGAGCCAUUUUUAGUGUGAUGGUUGGAAAGUUUGUUCGGUGUAGGAUGAGCUCGCGGGCUAUCAGCUUGUUGGUGGGGUAAUGGCCUACCAAGGCGGCGGCGGGUAGCCGGCCUGUGGGGGUGGACGGCCACACUGGGACCGAGGGACGGCCCAGGCGCCGAAGGGUGGGAGCAGUGGGGAAGAUUGAACGAUGGGCGCCAGCCUGAUGCAGCGACGCCUCGUGGGGGAUGACGGCCUUCGGGUUGUAAACUCCUUUCGCUAGGGACGAAGCUUUUUGUGACGGUACCUAGAUAAGAAGCACCGGCUAACUACGUG